CGCCCUGUUCGGGAACGGUGGCUUCCGCCCCGGUCCCGGCGGGGGCGGCGGUUCGUUCAACUUCGACCUGGGCGACC
rnacentral:tRNA from 1 species